AUGGACUGCAGCUGGAGAACCCUCCUCCUGGUGGCCAUGGCGACAGGUGUCCACUCCCAGGUGCAGCUGGUGCAGUCUGGGGCUGAGGUGAGGCAGCCUGGGGCCUCCGUGAAGGUCUCCUGCAAGGCUUCUGGAUACACCUUCACCAGCUACUGGAUGUACUGGGUGCAUCAGGCCCCAGGACAGGGGCUUGAGUGGAUGGGGAGCGUUUACCCUGGUGAUGGAGACACAAGGUACGCACAGAAGUUCCAAGGCAGAGUCUCCAUCACAGCAGACAAGUCCACAAGCACAGCCUACAUGGAGCUCAGCAGCCUGAGAGCCGAGGACACGGCUGUGUAUUACUGUGCAACAGACACAGUGAGGGGAACCUCUGGAUUCACCUUCAGUAGCUAUGGAAUGCACUGGGUCCGCCAGGCUCCAGGGAAGGGGCUGGAGUGGGUUUCUGCUAUUAGUACUGGUGGUGGUAGCACAUACUACGCCGACUCUGUGAAGGGCCGCUUCACCAUCUCCAGAGACAACGCCAAGAACAUGCUGUACCUGCAAAUGAGCAGCCUGAAAGCUCAGGACACGGCCAUGUAUUACUGUGCAAGAUACACAGUGAGGGGAAGUCAGUGUGAGCCCAGACACUAA